UUGUCAUUUUCUUGCCUGGCAGCUUUGCAUCCCGAUGCGGUGGAUCUUUACGAUUAAAUUCUUCGGGCAUGGAGUGGGAUUCUUUCCCAGCACCCACUACUCCAGACUGUAGUGUUGAGCUUUUGCAAUGUCCACUGCACUUUGGAGCGAGCUGUAGACCAGGCUGAGCCUUUGUGAUGAGUUGCCACAAUUCAUUCACGAUACUGGGAUUGGAACGAUGUGUAUGCCGGAAGGAUGUGUGUGAUCAAUCUAAUAUUUGUGUUCACGACAGCCAUUAGGUCUUCCUUUAGUGUUGUCCUUGACCAACUGUUGCUGAAGGCAAGGUGCGCUUGCAGACAAGCUGCAUGUAAAGGCUGCCAACC
rnacentral:lncRNA from 1 species